AUUGAACGCUGGCGGCAGGCCUAACACAUGCAAGUAGAACGAGUGGCGGACGGGUGAGUAAUGUCUGGGAAACUGCCUGACGGAGGGGGAUAAAUACUGGAACCGGUAGCUAAUACCGCAUACCCUCAGAUGUGCCCAGAUGGGAUUAGCUUGUUGGUGGGGUAACGGCUCACAAAGGCGACGAUCCCUAGCUGGUCUGCGAGGAUGACCAGCCACCCUGGAUCUAGGACACGGUCCAGACUCCUCCGGGAGGCAGCAGUGGGGAAUAUUGCACAAUGGGCGCAAGCCUGAUGCAGCCAUGCGGCGUGUAUGAAGAAGGCCUUCGGGUUGUAGAGUACUUUCAGCGGGGAGGCGUUACCCGCAGAAGAAGCACCGGCUAACUCCGUGCCAGCAGCCGCGGUAAUAC
rnacentral:rRNA from 1 species